UUAAUUAUAAGUUAAAUAAUAAACUAUAAAUUUUCAAAAUUUAAAAU
rnacentral:tRNA from 1 species